ensembl:lncRNA
AUUUGAACCUUCGUGGUGCUGCUGACUGCCCAUAACUGUAGAUUAAAAGUUACUAAGAACCGCUGAGCACUGAAUUACAUGGAAACUUUUAGUUUGCAAGAAUUUUGAUGAAGCUUAUGUCCAUGAACAUUUUAUCUAAACCUUUUUUUUUUUUUUUUUUUGGUUUUAACCUCCAUCCUUAGAAGGCAUAUUAUUCCUUACUAUGUAACAGUUCAGAGUCACUAUGUCCUCAGGGAAUUUCCUUUUCUAUUUAUUUCAGAGAAAACUGGAUGUUAUUAAAAAUAAUUACUUCCAUGAAAAAUCAUUUUUAACAUAAAAAAGACUAUUCAUAUCUUUAAAACAAAUUGGUAUAGUCAAAGAACAGUUGCCUCACAACAGAAAUUUUAAGUUCUUUGGCUUGCUUUAUCUAAGUUAAACUUCAGGACCAAAACAGUAUAUUCUGGCCCUAAAUUCACUGAAUCUGUGCCAUUCAUAAAUGCCAUUUUUGAUUAAAUAAGCAAAAGUGUUUACCCCUUGUGCUUUUUAUGGCACUAAUGCAUACGAAAUACAAGAAUUAUCUUAAACUAAUCCAUGGACUUUAAUAAUUUGCAAUCAGUUAAUUGUUUCCUUAGAAAUGAAUCACAGGAAUUAAUUCUACCAGUUCAGAUUAUUUCAGGAAAGGUGACUGCAAUUAUUAGUAUUAGUCACUCUUUCAAAAGAAUUAAAAUCCUUCCUUCUUGUAUCCACACAGUGACACUAUUGCCUUCACAAAGUAGUCUCAUCCAACUACCUUAGUUUAUUCUGAUAAAGUCCAUUUCCAAAAUAAUAUUCGUCCAAAUGACUUCUGCUCCUGUAGUUCUCUUUGUUGCAGGUCAUAUGCAAAAAUGACUUCAGCAAGUUCUGCUUUUUAUAUUAAGCAGUUAUUUUGCUAGAUAGCUCUCUUCUAGAGUGUUCAGUUAGCAGUUAAAGGUUAUUUAUGAACAAGAAUUUGAGAUAUAAUGUAUUAAAUGCGGUCUUUUAUAUCACUUUUAAUUUCUACGUCUUGUGAAUCUCUGGGAUGAUCUCCUUCAUUUAUUUAUAUCCAGUCUUUCCAUGUAGUAUGUACGUACUCCCAGUAUUCAUGAGAUUUUAGGUUCACUUUAUAUUUAAGACUUUUUUUCUCAUGGACCGAGCUUUGUUCUGAAAAUCCACCAUCAUGCAAGGCUAUAUCAUGACAAUUUUCCAAAAUCUUAUUUCUGAAAUAAAGUAAGCACCUUAGCAGCCAAGGUCUCCAGUUCUGGUAGUGCAGGAGCAUCUUAUCAUUGUGGCCAGGCAGUGGGCCAGGUAGCAGCAUAACAUGUUUAUGACUUUAAGGCCUAUCUGCCACCUGGAGGUCCUAUGAUAACAUAAUCCAAAUCAUGGAAGACAGUGCUGAGAGGAGUGACUAACAUCAGUUCCACAAGGAAUACCCAGUCUAGAAUUAGGUCUCCAACUAGGAAUAGAGAGAGGUACAAGACUAUUGAUACAAACGCUCUUUGAAAGUAAAUGACUCACUGAGCAAAACUGCCACACUUUCCUGGCCAGUGUAAUUCUGUCACAGACACCUACUUUGGUGACAGGCAUUUCUACAGCAACAGACACCUAGGGAGGAAACUGGCCACUGACUUUACUGUGUGCCUAAGACAAAGUGUUUGACUGGACUGAAAACAGGUGCCCCCAGCAUUACCAAAAAGAGCCUACUUGCAGCUGGCCUGUCUCUGAAGCAGUGAUAAUUGUGGACUUCCCUCUACAAGCAAAGUGAAAUGAUCAGCAAAGAGAGGUAAGAUCAUGUUAAAACUCAGAUAAAGAAAGACAUGUGAAACAGCAAAAGAAAACAAGAAGCAGAAAACCUAAGCAUAUUUAAAGUCAUAAGCAAUUAGUAAUUAUAAGAUAUGAUGAAACAAUAAUAAGGACUUCGCCAUAUAAUAUUCAUGUGGUUCUUUCUUGACUUGUAAGCUUGACACUAGUAUUUGGAGUCUAUUUUUUUUCCUAAUCUUACAGAAAUGAAAUUACAUCCUCCCCAUUAGAUCACUUAUAAUAUCCUAUAUAUGAGGGCUCUUUAGAAAAUACAGGUGUGUCUUGUAAAAAUAAUACAUUUAGAAGCAGAUUAGAAUGCUAUUUAGACACUCACUUAUUACUACAUUUAUGCUGUUUCUUCAAUUGUUUAUUUAUAUUUUAAGUAUGUAUGUCAGGGGUGGUCUAAUCCUAGCAACAGCGUGGGUCAGAACGAUGUUUUAGGGCUGUCCCCUUAACACUGAAGCCUCUGAUACUACUUGGCUCAGAUGUUCGGCUGGUGUUGCUGCUGUAGAAGAAAGGCAUCAUAUAAGAGGAUCAUAGAAUCGUGAGUUGAAAAAAAACAUCAAAGGCCAUCUAGUCCAACCCUCCUGCAAUGAACACGGACACCGACAGCUCAGUCAGGUAACUCAG